AGAAACUUAGGAUAAUAUAAAACCAAAGGCCUUCAAAGCCUUAAACAAGAGUUAAACCCUCUUAGUUUCUG
rnacentral:tRNA from 1 species